rnacentral:rRNA from 1 species
GGGCUCACACAAGCGGUGGAGCAUGUUGCUUAAUUCGAGGCAACGCGAAGAACCUUACCUGGGCUUGACAUGUACGGAUUAACCCCGUGAAAGCGGGGCCACAGUCGCAAGACCGGAACGUGCACAGGUGCUGCAUGGCUGUCGUCAGCUCGUGCUGUGAAGUGUCGGGUUAAGUCCCUUAACGAGCGCAACCCCUGUCGUUAGUUGCUCACGGGUAAUGCCGAGUACUCUAGCGAGACUGCCGGUGUCAAACCGGAGGAAGGUGGGGAUGACGUCAAGUCCUCAUGGCCCUUACGUCCAGGGUUGCAAACGUGCUACAAUGGCGCGUACAAAGCGAUGCGAGAUCGCGAGAUGGAGCAAAUCGCAAAAAGCGCGCCCCAGUUCGGAUUGCAGGCUGCAACUCGCCUGCAUGAAGUCGGAAUCGCUAGUAAUCGGAGAUCAGCUACGCUCCGGUGAAUGUGUUCCUGAGCCUU